AUUGAACGCUGGCGGCAGGCCUAACACAUGCAAGUCGAACGAGUGGCGGACGGGUGAGUAAUGUCUGGGAAACUGCCUGAUGGAGGGGGAUAACUACUGGAAACGGUAGCUAAUACCGCAUACCAUCAGAUGUGCCCAGAUGGGAUUAGCUAGUAGGUGAGGUAACGGCUCACCUAGGCGACGAUCCCUAGCUGGUCUGAGAGGAUGACCAGCCCACCUGGAACUGAGACACGAUCCAGACUCAUCCGGGAGGCAGCAGGGGGGAAUAUGGCACAAUGGGCGCAAGUCUGAUGCAGCCAUGCCGCGUGUAUGAAGAAGGCCUUCGGGUUGUAAAGUACUGUCAGCGGGGAGGCGUUACCCGCAGAAGAAGCACCGGCUAACUCCGUGCCAGCCGCCGCGGUAAUUC
rnacentral:rRNA from 1 species